AAUACCCCAUUCCACAACACUUGAAUAUAAGCUUUUUUACAAAGUGUUAUUAUAGCUAAUACUAAAAAGUGGGAGAGUGAAAAUCUGAAUAAAUGAUGAAAUAACUACUUUCAAGUUUAUCUUUUUGAACUGUUACCUUUCAAGCGGGAGAGUGAAAAAAAAGGCGGUACCUUUUGAGGAAAGCCCGCUAAAUACUAAAAUGUUAAAAAAAAUAAUUAUCUUUUUGAAAAGUCUUAGACUCUCAUUUAGUUUCCUUUGUAGCCUUCCAUUCGGUCAUCUGUCAAAGUCCCUCUCUCCUCCAAUCGACCAUCAUUCUUUCUCUCUUGGUAUCAAUCUCUCUACUUGGGAAUAUUCACUCUUUGUUUGGGCAUUAAAGAUCUACCCCUAUAUCCUUUCUCCUUUAGUGGUCUCGGCUAUCUCUAGUUGUAUCUAUUACAUAGCCAGCCACUCCAUCAUUGGCAUUGCUGAUAUUUGAUUUAUAAGGAAUGCCUCAAUUUAAGACCCAACUAAAUGGAACUAAAUAAUGGAGUAAUAUAUAGUAGGCAUAACCUUACCUGCCAGCGAGCUUGGGUGGAUUUCAACAUGUUUUUUUGGACUCUUCAAGGUUCUUGGUAAGACAUCUUAGUUGCCUAUUAUGUUAGAGUGUGUUUACUCUUCUUAGUGGCUCUUUAGUUUUCUGUUAUGGUUGUUAUAAGUAGUUAAACUACUUUCUCAAUUGAUCUCUUGUAUAAAUACUCUCUUGUACAAAUUACUUGGUCAACAAUAAUACUUCUUCUUUCCAUAAAGAUUUUACUCUGUUUCGUUAGAAUUAAUAGUUCUAACAUUUUUUUUGGAUUAUAAUCAUUCAAAUUUUAGUAAAUUUUGAAUAUUAAAAUAUGUUGUCAUUUCACAUGUCAUUAAUGUGUUGUAACUUCUAGAUGAGAAUUACAUAUAUAUGUUGCAAUAUAGAUUUGAUGUAUGAGUUAUUUUAAGUGGAACUUGAUAAAUCUCUAAUUUUUUUCAAUUUUCUGCUUGUCUGGUGAAAGAAUUAAUCUAACAUGAAGAAAAUUAAUAUAAGCUUAUAUAAUGGCUUGUAUUGAGGUGAAAAGAGAAAUAUAUUUAUAUUGUGGCUGUCAUUUGUGUUUGAAAGAAAUGAAAAAAAAUCAAGAGUAUUUUCUAUUGACAAAUAUUAUUAGAGAGUGUAUACAUAUAUGGUUUGUUAAUCUAUACAUUUAUGUUUAUAGAAAUUUAUUUUGAUUAGUUCUAUGUUUUCCCCUGUGUUUCUUUUUAGUGAAGAAUGUAUUGCUUUUCCUUUUGUUUCAUUCUUUUGGCCGUCUUUGCCUAAGUUUGACUUGUAUUUUUUUUUAACUUUGUUUGCUUUUUUGCUGGUAUUUAAUUAUAUGAUAUUGUACUUGAUGAAUGAGAUGCUACCUCUAGGUUUUUGCUUCUCUACUUUUGAAAGUCAUCUAGCAAAUUUUGCUUUGUGACAACUAUUAUUUUUUAAUGUGAUUUCUUUACCCCCUUAUUGCAAUCUUUACUUAUUACUUUUUUUUUGUGUUGCAUGAAAUGAGAAUGCAAGGAUGCAUGCAAUAUUGAUUCCACGUAGUUGGGGAGAAUCGUUUUCUUGUUGUUUUAAGCUCACUUCAAGUCUUCUACAUCCAUCGGCUUUUAAGCAAGCUAAUCGCCUACAAUCUGGUUCAAGAACUGCAUCACAAUAUCAUUAAGUCAGAAAAUAAGCUUAGAGGCGGUAAGAUUCGUGGCGCUUGGAGGAUGUGUAUCGAUGAUGAAUGGAGUCAAGGGGCCGAGCGUUAAUCGAUUCGAGGAUGUAGUUUCGGUUUUAUGUCUUUUUAUAUGUAUUUUCCGCACUAAUUAUGUAAUGUUUUAUUAUUUUAAAUUAUGUUUUUGUUUUCAAGACAAUGGGAUCCCAUAUCCGUUUUGGUAUUUACUUUGUAAAUAACUCUUAUUUUGCAAGUUAUUCAAUAAAUUAUGGUAUUUUCGCAAA